rnacentral:rRNA from 1 species
GAGGAACGCUGGCGGCGCGCCUAACACAUGCAAGUCGAACGAGCGAGAGAGAGCUUGCUUUCUCGAGCGAGUGGCGAACGGGUGAGUAACGCGUGAGGAACCUGCCUCAAAGAGGGGGACAACAGUUGGAAACGACUGCUAAUACCGCAUAAGCCCACGGGUCGGCAUCGACCAGAGGGAAAAGGAGCAAUCCGCUUUGAGAUGGCCUCGCGUCCGAUUAGCUAGUUGGUGAGGUAACGGCCCACCAAGGCAACGAUCGGUAGCCGGACUGAGAGGUUGAACGGCCACAUUGGGACUGAGACACGGCCCAGACUCCUACGGGAGGCAGCAGUGGGGAAUAUUGCACAAUGGGGGAAACCCUGAUGCAGCGACGCCGCGUGGAGGAAGAAGGUCUUCGGAUUGUAAACUCCUGUUGUUGAGGAAGAUAAUGACGGUACUCAACAAGGAAGUGACGGCUAACUACGUGCCAGCAGCCGCGGUAAAACGUAGGUCACAAGCGUUGUCCGGAAUUACUGGGUGUAAAGGGAGCGCAGGCGGGAAGACAAGUUGGAAGUGAAAUCUAUGGGCUCAACCCAUAAACUGCUUUCAAAACUGUUUUUCUUGAGUAGUGCAGAGGUAGGCGGAAUUCCCGGUGUAGCGGUGGAAUGCGUAGAUAUCGGGAGGAACACCAGUGGCGAAGGCGGCCUACUGGGCACCAACUGACGCUGAGGCUCGAGAGUGUGGGUAGCAAACAGGAUUAGAUACCCUGGUAGUCCACACCGUAAACGAUGAUUACUAGGUGUUGGAGGAUUGACCCCUUCAGUGCCGCAGUUAACACAAUAAGUAAUCCACCUGGGGAGUACGACCGCAAGGUUGUAACUCAAAGGAAUUGACGGGGGCCCGCACAAGCAGUGGAGUAUGUGGUUUAAUUCGACGCAACGCGAAGAACCUUACCAAGUCUUGACAUCCUGCGACGCACAUAGAAAUAUGUGUUUCCUUCGGGACGCAGAGACAGGUGGUGCAUGGUUGUCGUCAGCUCGUGUCGUGAGAUGUUGGGUUAAGUCCCGCAACGAGCGCAACCCUUACUGUCAGUUACUACGCAAGAGGACUCUGGCAGGACUGCCGUUGACAAAACGGAGGAAGGUGGGGAUGACGUCAAAUCAUCAUGCCCCUUAUGACUUGGGCUACACACGUACUACAAUGGCGUUAAACAAAGAGAAGCAAGACCGCGAGGUGGAGCAAAACUCAGAAACAACGUCCCAGUUCGGACUGCAGGCUGCAACUCGCCUGCACGAAGUCGGAAUUGCUAGUAAUCGUGGAUCAGCAUGCCACGGUGAAUACGUUCCCGGGCCUUGCACA